CGGCUAUAUGGGAGCUAAUAAUGACAUAGAUUUACUGUAUAAGUGAAUCUGAGUUCAUAUACCGGGUCAAAAUUUACUGCUACGCCAGAAUAAUAUGAGAUGGGAAAUGGAAAUCUAUUUGUUCAGAUAAUGCACCUAUUUAAUUGACUGUAGAUCUGAGCUCAAAUUAGUUUUUUAGCUUAUAAUACUGACACACACAAUGAAUGUUCAGACAAAGACUCUUUAAAAUAAAAUUACACCAAAAUACUUCGUGUCCUAGUUAGUUUAGCAUACGGAUACAUUUAAGUUUAUGUGCACAGUUAAAAUCUUUAGGGCGUCAUUAAUGACAUCAUCAAAAAGGUUACUGGUAGCUGCCUCUUCUUUUAUUUUUUUUAUUUGAUAUGAAU